CCUACGGGGGGCAGCAGUGAGGAAUAUUGGUCAAUGGCCGUAAGGCUGAACCAGCCAAGUCGCGUGAAGGAAGAAGGAUCUAUGGUUUGUAAACUUCUUUUAUAGGGGAAUAAAGUUAUCCACGUGUGGAUAUUUGCAUGUACCCUAUGAAUAAGCAUCGGCUAACUCCGUGCCAGCAGCCGCGGUAAUACGGAGGAUGCGAGCGUUAUCCGGAUUUAUUGGGUUUAAAGGGUGCGUAGGUUGUAUUUUAAGUCAGCGGUGAAAGUUUGUGGCUCAACCAUAAAAUUGCCGUUGAAACUGGAAGACGUGAGUGUGUUUGAGGUAGGCGGAAUGCGUGGUGUAGCGGUGAAAUGCAUAGAUAUCACGAAGAACUCCGAUUGCGAAGGCAGCUUACGAAGCCAUAACUGACACUGAAGCACGAAGGCGUGGGGAUCAAACAGGAUUAGAUACCCCUGUAGUC
rnacentral:rRNA from 1 species